GCCUGAUUCUGCACUUGUACUCCACCUCCUCUCCCACCUCUCACCACCACCUCCCUCCCUCUGAAAUCCAGGCAAAAUACCACUUCUAACACUAGCUCUGAGACUAUAGGAACUUAAUGUCUCUGAGUCUCAGAUCUUACUUCGAUAAAGUGGAGAUAGUAAAACGUGUGGUGCCUACCUCUGGGCAUUGUCGUGAAUCUUAAAUAAGAAAGCAGCUAUGUUAGUUGUUACUGCUACGGCCACAACUAUUAAACACUGCUACUACCGUGUCGGUUUGAACAGAUCACUUCCCUUUCCUGGGCUUACGUCUCCCCAUAUAUAAAAUCGCAUUAUAUGUUCUCCAAAAAUCCAUUCCGCUCUAAAUCCUGUGGUCCUCACCCUUCCAUUAUAAUAGACCCAGGAUCAUUUCACAGGUCCUGAAAAGAGGACAGCAGCGAAGAAGUGGGGCAGAAGGGACAUAAAGACAAAGCAGCGGGAGAGGAACCGAGGGUUCUUAGCGUGCCUCGAGCAUCCCUAUGCAAGCGUGGAGCACGUACCCCAAACUCGAACCCGAACCGAACCCAGGCCACAUCCUUCCGUGAGUAGCGCGGGGCAAAGGGCAUGCGCACGCACGUGGCGUCUCGGGCCUCCCACGUUCUAGCGGUGGAAGUUUGGGAGCUUCGGUCUCCGUGGUAACGAGACGCUUUUCCCUUGUGGGAAACAGCGGCAGUAGAAGCUUCAGCUUUCACCACGGGAGAGGGAUCGGGGCGGGAGGGCCGGGGAAGAAACCCCGCUCCUUUGCCCAGGGCAGCAGGGUCCCUUUCCAAUCCUUCCCUCCCCAGCUGGGAAAGAUGCCCCUGCAAGUAGUAGUGGAGUUGCACAUUCGAGCGGAUGGGGAAGACUAGAGUUCUGCAUCUCUUCUCUGUGUCCUAAUUUGCUUCAUCAGCAAAUAUCAAAAUGUGCCCCCCCCCAUCUACCAAAAACCAAAACAUGUGUGGGUUCUUAAAAGUGAAUAAAUUAAAAAUUUAAAAAUCUACA
rnacentral:lncRNA from 1 species